AGCGAACGCUGGCGGCAGGCUUAACACAUGCAAGUCGAGCGGGCACUUUCGGGUGUCAGCGGCGGACGGGUGCGUAACGCGUGGGAACGUGCCCUCUGGUUCGGAAUAACUCAGGGAAACUUGAGCUAAUACCGGAUACGCCCUUUUGGGGAAGGGCUUGCUGCCGGAGGAUCGGCCCGCGUCUGAUUAGCUAGUUGGUGAGGUAACGGCUCACCAAGGCGACGAUCAGUAGCUGGUCUGAGAGGAUGAUCAGCCACACUGGGACUGAGACACGGCCCAGACUCCUACGGGAGGCAGCAGUGGGGAAUAUUGGACAAUGGGCGCAAGCCUGAUCCAGCCAUGCCGCGUGAGUGAUGAAGGCCUUAGGGUUGUAAAGCUCUUUUAUCCGGGACGAUAAUGACGGUACCGGAGGAAUAAGCCCCGGCUAACUUCGUG
rnacentral:rRNA from 1 species